rnacentral:rRNA from 1 species
UGUAAGCGUAUACCAAAGUUGUUGCAGUUAAAACGCUCGUAGUCGGAAUUUGGCAGUUCCGGAUGUGUGCACGUCGUGUGCGCACUUAGCGGGGAUUGCUUUUGUGGUCUUGCGUAGGAUGAGGCACUUUUAUUAGUGAACGUCCUCACGCAACCACUUUUUACUGUGAGAAAAUCAGAGUGCUCAAAGCAGGCAUUUGCCGUGAAUGUAUUAGCAUGGAAUAAUAGAAUAGGACUUGGUUCUAUUUUGUUGGUUUGUUGGGACUGAGUAAUGAUUAAGAGGGACAGUUGGGGGCAUUUGUAUUUCGGUGCUAGAGGUGAAAUUCUUAGAUUACCGAAAGACAAACUGCUGCGAAAGCGUCUGCCAAGGAUGUUUUCAUUGA